rnacentral:rRNA from 1 species
GAUGAACGCUAGCGGGAGGCUUAACACAUGCAAGUCGAGGGGCAGCAUAGGGUAGCAAUACUCUGAUGGCGACCGGCAAACGGGUGAGUAACGCGUAUGCAACCUACCCUGUACAGGGGGAUAACCCGGAGAAAUUCGGACUAAUAUCCCGUAAUAAUAUCCGGAGGCAUCUUUGGAUAUUUAAAGUUCCGACGGUACGGGAUGGGCAUGCGUAACAUUAGCUGGUUGGUAAGGUAACGGCUUACCAAGGCUAUGAUGUUUAGGGGUCCUGAGAGGGUGGUCCCCCACACUGGUACUGAGACACGGACCAGACUCCUACGGGAGGCAGCAGUGAGGAAUAUUGGUCAAUGGGCGCAAGCCUGAACCAGCCAUCCCGCGUGCAGGAAGACGGCCCUAUGGGUUGUAAACUGCUUUUCCAGGGAGAGAAACUUACGCACGUGUUGCGUGACUGACGGUACCUGGGAAUAAGCAUCGGCUAACUCCGUGC